GAUGAAGAACGCAGCGAAAUGCGAUACUUGGUGUGAAUUGCAGAAUCCCGUGAACCAUCGAGUCUUUGAACGCAAGUUGCGCCCGAAGCCAUUAGGCCGAGGGCACGCCUGCCUGGGCGUCACACGUCGUUGCCCCCCCCAUCUACUCCUUCGGGAUUGCGGGGGGCGGAUGAUGGCCUCCCGUGUGCCUCGCCGCGCGGUUGGCAUAAAUGCCAAGUCCUCGGCGACGCACGCCACGACAAUCGGUGGUUGCGAAACCUCGGUUGCCCGUCGUGUGCGGUCGUCGCGCAUCGAGGGCUCGAAAAAAUUGCCGGGUUCCGGCUCGGCUUUCAACGCGACCCCAGGUCAGGCGGGGUUACCCGCUGAAUUUAAGCAUAUCAUAAGCGGAGGA
rnacentral:misc_RNA from 1 species